GACGAACGCUGGCGGCGUGCUUAACACAUGCAAGUCGAACGAUGAAGCUCUAGCUUGCUGGGGUGGAUUAGUGGCGAACGGGUGAGUAACACGUGAGUAACCUGCCCUUUACUUCGGGAUAAGCUUGGGAAACUGGGUCUAAUACCGGAUAUUCUGCGUGAUCGGAUGGUUGUGUAGGAAAGAUUUUUUGGUAAGGGAUGGGCUCGCGGCCUAUCAGUUUGUUGGUGGGGUGAUGGCCUACCAAGACGACGACGGGUAGCCGGCCUGAGAGGGCGACCGGCCACACUGGGACUGAGACACGGCCCAGACUCCUACGGGAGGCAGCAGUGGGGAAUAUUGCACAAUGGGGGAAACCCUGAUGCAGCGACGCCGCGUGGGGGAUGACGGCCUUCGGGUUGUAAACCUCUUUCAGUAGGGAAGAAGCGAAAGUGACGGUACCUGCAGAAGAAGUACCGGCUAACUACGUGCCAGCAGCCGCGGUAAUACGUAGGGUACUAGCGUUGUCCGGAAUUAUUGGGCGUAAAGAGCUCGUAGUGGUUUGUCGCGUCUGCUGUGGAAACGUGCCGCUUAACGGCGCGCGUGCAGUGGGUACGGGCGGACUAGAGUGCAGUAGGGGAGUCUGGAAUUCCUGGUGUAGCGGUGAAAUGCGCAGAUAUCAGGAGGAACACCGGUGGCGAAGGCGGGACUCUGGGCUGUUACUGACGCUGAGGAGCGAAAGCAUGGGGAGCGAACAGGAUUAGAUACCCUGGUAGUCCAUGCCGUAAACGUUGGGCACUAGGUGUGGGGUCCAUUCCACGGAUUCUGCGCCGUAGCUAACGCAUUAAGUGCCCCGCCUGGGGAGUACGGCCGCAAGGCUAAAACUCAAAGGAAUUGACGGGGGCCCGCACAAGCGGCGGAGCAUGCGGAUUAAUUCGAUGCAACGCGAAGAACCUUACCAAGGCUUGACAUGCACUAGACCAUCGCAGAGAUGUGGUUUUCUUUUUGACUGGUGUACAGGUGGUGCAUGGUUGUCGUCAGCUCGUGUCGUGAGAUGUUGGGUUAAGUCCCGCAACGAGCGCAACCCUCGUUCUAUGUUGCCAGCACGUGAUGGUGGGAACUCAUGGGAGACUGCCGGGGUCAACUCGGAGGAAGGUGGGGAUGACGUCAAAUCAUCAUGCCCUUUAUGUCUUGGGCUUCACGCAUGCUACAAUGGCCGGUACAGAGGGUGGCGAUACCGUGAGGUGGAGCGAAUCUCUUAAAGCCGGUCUCAGUUCGGAUCGUAGUCUGCAACUCGACUACGUGAAGUCGGAGUCGCUAGUAAUCGCAGAUCAGCAAUGCUGCGGUGAAUACGUUCCCGGGCCU
rnacentral:rRNA from 1 species